rnacentral:lncRNA from 1 species
UCGUUUAUUCCAUUCCGUUCAUCUCCACUACUUCCGGUCUACUCCAUCCAAAUCAUUUAAAAAUAUCUUAACAUAAGGUUAAAUUGUUGGAGUAGAGAAUCCAAUUCACUCUAUUUUUUGGACAUUUUCUUUGUCGCAGUCGUUGUCUUCUUCCCAUGCGUCCUAGAGAAAAAUAUGAAGGUGAAAUACUAUUAAGAAAUGUUAUAAACAUAGAGCAACAAUUCUUACCUCCACCGUGUGGUAACGCCAAAACCAUUGCAUAAAUAACAUCAUUUUCCGAAAGUGAAAUAUUUACUAAAGACAAACAUUUGUGUAAGAUGGCCUAUAU